AGCAGGUAGAGAUGCCUGUCAGUAGGGCCUUGGAAGCCCUGUCACGGCCGGGUACCAGACCAGUACACUAGGGAGGGAUGAUCAUUCUACAGUCUUAUGCCAAUUGUCAUGCAAAACUCAUUGUCACCUUUUGGGGACUGGUCAUGCUAAUAUCUUCCCUUUGCUACUCCAAUAAUACUAUCUUGUUCUUAUAUAGCCAUCUCAAAUCACUUAGGGAUCAUUAUCCCCAAUUUAGUGACAUGCCCAAGGUUACCUAGCAACCCAGUGGCAGAGCUGGGACUAAAACCCAGGUCUCACAAGUCCUGGACCAGCACGCUAGCAACUAACCAACACUGUUUGAACUCUAACAAGGUGGUGCUUCCAGGAUUGCUCCACGCUGGGAGGAUGGGGGAGUAAAAUGAUGCAGCGGGGUGGUGUGAGCUGGUGAAGGAGCAGAGCACAGCGCCAAUACUCAGUUCCUCCUGCAAAAAGUUGGAGAGAAGUAGUGUACCACUCUUAGGUGUUCGCCUGAGACUAGCUCCCUCUCCCACCUGCCUGAGUAAACAUUUCAGUGAGGUUCUCUCUUCUCCCCUCCUCCUCACAGCAGUCCCUUUCCCCCUGAGCACCCAUCCUUCACGACUGAUGCUGAGUUACCUGGAAGGGUCAGCACCGCCAUGCUUCACGAUGGACACUUGACAAAAUUACGGUAUUUAGUGACGGACAUUAGGGGUGAGGGUGGGGUGUUAUGUCAUUGUCAUUCCAUUUUUUGAAAAAUUACCACAGACUUCAAAAUUUUUACCACGGACACAUUGCUGACCCCUGGUUACCUGGCAUUUCAAGGCCUCCAGCUGGUCCUUCAGCACUGCUGCAGGAGCCAGCCUACAGCCUUCAGGGAGCCAGCAAGACAGGCCAGUUCAGAGUGGCUGCAUGUAGCACCGUGAUAUGGAAAUAGCUGAGAAGCCCUAAAUUAGGUCAUGCCCAUGGUAGGAGAUGGUACCAUGCAUGAGUCAGCAGUUUGUUUCAGAUACAAUUUUGAAUCAUGAGCUGUUUCAACAGGAGGGCAACUGAACUGUUCAAGACCACAUCUCUCUGCUACCAGCAACUCCAUCUAAGAGCCACCUGAAACAAUGGGCUUAGCAAAAUAAGGCUAUUGUAUGAUAUAGGGAAACAGUUGGUCCAGUGGAUAGGUGUGGCCUGGAAGUUGGGAGGUGUGGAUUCUAGUCUCAGUUCUGCUGCAUGACUGUGGGCAAGUCACUUCCCCACACUGCCUCAGUUUCCCCUCCUGUUUAGAAUGUAAACUCUCUUGUGUAUGGCCAGGGCUUAGCAGAACAGGGACACAGCCUGGGGCCCAUAGAUGUUACUCUAAUACAAAUAACAACAAAAUAAGAUGUCUGCACUGGCUUUCAAGCAGUGGUUGAAAGCUUCAGCAUGUCUGUAGCUGAAAUAAUCUAGUACUGUUUGGCUGGCCAGUGUGGAUGGGGCCAAGCUAUAGUGGAGCCUAGAUCUAGCCUUGAUUCCUAGCCAGGUUUGAGCACUUUUGUUUUAGUACAGUUGGAUCCCCAUCCAUGCUGGCCAGCCAAACUCCGGAGCACAUUUAGGUGCAAUUGUACUAGGUGUGGGUUAUCUGUACUUCAAAGCCAGGAUAGAUGGAACCGGAGUCCUUCGGAAAGUCAGGAGAAGAAAGAGAAAUUAUAGGUGCUGACUGGCUGGUGAAGUCACAUGAUGAGGCGUAUACAUUGUCAAUAAUUCUUCCACUCUUGUUCUAACCCCACCCAGAGAAUGCUGGUGUAGGCUGGGUGUUCUGAUCUCCAUAUCCUCUAAACCCACUCUCAGCACCAGGCCAUGCCCAGUUGUUAGAGGACGGGAUUGUGGACUCUUUAUGCUGCUGAGAAUAUUUUUUUGCUUCUUUCAUUCUGAUUUUUGCAUCCCAAACCUCAGUAAUUUUGGAUGAGUCAAACUUACUUAAGAUAAACAGACAGCAAGUGUGAAAAAUCAGGACGGGGGUGGGGGGUAUAGGAGCC